AAACCUAAUUAAGAAGCAAAUAACCAAAACCCUAGAGUCCAAAUUGGUUGGACUUCCUCCCUUGCGCCACAUCUCUUCUCCAUGCCACUUCUCAUCGCACAAAAUGAGUUUGUGUGUGAGAAAAAUUUCAGCAAAGCCUCUGGUUGUCACCCUCCAUGGAUAAGGAAGAGUUGGUUUUAAUUUGAAUUCAAAAGAGUUUGAAUUCAAAAUCUUAAUCCCUAUCCAAUUCAAACCAUGCGUCGA
rnacentral:lncRNA from 1 species